GCAGGAAGCCUACGAAACUAGCCGAGAAACCCCACAAAAAUAGUCCGAGUGGUCGCUGCGGCCUUGGUUAAUUUCAUCUGGUUUUACCCUCAAACCGGUUCUUUUGGGGUGGGAAGCCGGGUGUGUUUUAAGGGAUCUUUCCGGAGGACUCAGAAUCACACUGGUGAGGCUUCGAGCUUCAAAAGGUGCUGGGCAAAACAGUUGUCCUAAUGGCUUUCAGAUCGCCUGAAAAAAUGUCCAGGUGUCUCAAGCCAGGACUGCCCUCUCCCAACGGCGAGGAGGAAGUAAGCUGGCGGUCCCUUGUCGCUCGGGCUCUGCCUGCGCGUCCCCGCACCCAAAGCCAGGCCUCUGGGGACGGAGCCUACGAUUUAGGGCUACCGCGUUCACAGAGCAGAGUGGCCAGAGGUGAGGAUCUCAGGUCACGCUUCCGAGCUCUGCUGGGGUGCAGCUCCCUCCUCCACACCCGGGAUCGAGGAUCCCGAGGGGCAGCGGAGCCGCCGAGCCUCGGUCGGGUCGCUCUCUGAUCGACGCAGCGGAAAGUCAGGCGCAGAGUCCGGUGACCCCCGAAACAGAGUGGAGCCUCUGGCCUUGGGAGCUCGGAAACUGCCUAAAACAGCUCAGGUCAAGCUGGGGUCGGAGGGGGUCUUCCCUCAGUAGCCCCAGUUCCAUGCUCGGGUCUCUUCUAUUCUAGGCCACAGUUCCCGCACACAAACUUUUCCCGACUCAUCCAGUCCUUUCCGAACCCUGCCUUCGUCGCCGGCUCGCUCCAGGGGUCUGGCGGACUAACACCGGGGACCCGAGAAAGUGUCCAAUGACCCUUUCCAGGACGGGUCCGGAAGGAUGAGACUCCAUAAUACGUGGGGAGCACACAUCCAAGUCCGACUUUGACGGGUUAUGGUUGCAAGUGUGGAGAGAAACGACAGGAGGACAAACUUGGGAAGCCGGACCAAGCGACACUUCCCUGUCCCUAAGUCAGUCUCCAGAGAGACCGGCAGCACUCGGCCGCGACCCCGGGACGUCGCUCCUCCACCCCAAUUCCCUGUUCUCACGGCUCGGAACCCCCAAAGAUCUUGGUGCAGCAGCUUCGAACCCAAGGCCUUGGAGAGUGAAGUGUGAGCUCUGCCCAGCAGCUGACUGCUGGCGAAGUGGUGAAGGGCACAGAUGGCGAGGGGAGAGGUACUGUCGCCCAGCCGCAACGACGUGCUCUAGACCUGUGCCCCUGCAGCGGGAAGACAGGGUGUCCAGGUUCGAGAAGGAAAUUCAGUCGCGCGCAGCGGAGGCAGCGUUCCACCAGAGCAGUGGAUUCCUUACUCCCUGUGCGCGGCAAACUUCAUCUUCCUCUUCUGGCAGAGCUAUUCCCACACCAAAGAACGGAAUGGACCGAGGACCGCAAAUGCUCCUCUAGGUUGCGCUUAAAGUUCUCUGCACUCCGCAAGCAACAGUGCCUCGCUAAGGGGUGUCUGGGUAUAAAAUUUCUCCCAGAGGAAAUGUCCCGAGGUAGAGAAAGUGGAAAAGACUAAUCGAAUUUAUAAAAAGAAAACCUUUGCUUCCUUUUGGUUAAAUCCUUUUGCGGUUUUCUGAGCGAGAGAAAAAAAAUUAGCACCAAGCAAUAGCGUGUGGCUAAUUCUUGGAAUGAGUAACUAGGAUAUUUAGAAAGCCCAGCAGGGUGCACAGAUUUUCCUGAAGCGCAAGAACUAGGUCCCGAGGAUCCAGCAAAGAGUGAUUGGUUCUCAUUAAAUGCCUUCAGUUGAGAUUGAGAGUAAGGUCGCUAGCCCACCCCUCCCCCCAUCCCUACUCUGGUGUGGGGGUGUGAGUAUUUGCGGGUGACCGGGAACCUACAAGGAACAUGAAUGGCGAUCCUCUCCGACAUCGGGGAACCCAGAUGUGGACGAAGCAAACCUGUCACAACAACACAACAACAACAAAAAAUUUUUUUCCAGUUACACAGUCCCUUUUUUUGUUUUCACCAGAAAAAAAAAAAUCCCACUUCUAAACAACAGGUUAACCUUUUUCAGAAGAUGUUGACUUUUUUAAAAAGUCUGUGUGCUUUGAAACCUUGUCCAGUGAGUGGCUUUUUCCACUCAUUUUCAUGGGGUCGAAGAACCUUUUGGUUUCAUUUCGAUAGAAAAACAGAAAUGGCCAGGUCUGGUUUCAGGACUUGUCCUGUCAGCUAGGCCUGCUUGUCACUCACAUGCAAGUCCCUCAUAAGUCAGCUGAGCCCUGGCUGGGAGUGAGUGUUCCAAAGGGUUCUUCCCUACUUUUAAGGGAAGGUUUUUCUCCUAAGUUGGGGGGAAAUUGUCUUGUCUCUGGACAGGGGUUUUACCCCUCUUCAGGCUCCAUCAGUCGGACAGCCUUUCUCCUGGUGUAAAUGGUGUAAAACCUACACCAUUAAUUAUUGCCUUGCAACAUCUCUCUCCAACAUCUCUCUCUCUCAGCAGCAAUACGAUCUCCCUCAACUUGACAUCCAGUUUAAUGUGCAGCUGGGCAUGUGAGACACAUUUCCCAACUCCAACUCUGUAUCUCCUUGCUUCCUCUCGGUGGAAUUCUCCAGGCACCCAAACUCCCAAGGCAGUAUGAAGAAGGAGCUCUUGCUUUUUCUCCCCACUCACACUAAGGAGCUCUUGCUUUCUCUCCCCCCACCCACCUCACACUUACAAAUCACCAUUCUGACCUCUGUCUUGCAUUUAUUUUCCUAAUUUUCCCUAGUCUCUUUGGCCUAUUUUGUACUAAAAUACAAUCCCAGGAAGAUCGCCCACAUUUAACCUCUAGAUUCUGUAGGGAUUUCUGUAGAUCCUAGCACCAGGCUUCCAGGGAAUGAUUUCCUCCGCCAACUGUGGGAUUCCAAGGGGACUGAAUGAAUUCUGUGUUCCCCAGGUUUGUUUUCAUUUUUUUUUCCUUUCCACCUUGGGCCUCGAAAUACCUUCAGUCAGUCAGAGCAUGCUGAAGAAAUCAGCCGGUGAUUUCAGCUCCCCUCCCAAUCUUUCUUUGGCUCCUCUGGGAUAUUUGCAGGGCGGCCUGAUUGCAUGUGUGCUGUGAGUGGGGUUGAGAGUGUGGAGUCAGAGCUGGGUGUCCAGGUUUUGCAUUUUGGUUGUACCAUGUUUAACAGUGGCCAGGGGACACGGCCCUGGGCUUAGUUUGUGUUCUGUAUUGGCUAACCCCGUUUAAAUUAAUAUCACGACCCCCUGUUUCCUGCUUUGUUGAGCAUAUAGUAAAGAAGCAGUGCAAUGCUGGGCAGUGUCUAGCAAAGAGCCAGGUUUGCCUCCUAUAAGUAAACCUGCCUCUGUGAAUUCCUUCACUUCCUAAAUGGAGAUAAUAUUAGUCCUUAUUCCAUAGGGGUCUGGGGGAGCUAAAGGAGUUAAUACGUAUGAAGAUUUUAGGAUGGCGGCUGGCGUGGUAAUUACAGUGCAAGCGCCAGCUAUUGUUGUCACUGAGCUCACAGGUUUGCUGUGGGGAUCAAAUAAUAGAGUGUGGUCAAAAUAUUCCCACUCCACCUAUCUAUCCAUUCAUCCAUUCAUUCACUCCAUGGAGAAAAGUGUUGGGUGGGCAUGGGGGAUGCCACUGGGAAAGACUUGCAUUCAUCUCCUCACUUGCAGGAAGGGCCAGGGCAGGCCUGGAAGGUUUGUGAGCACUGCAGACAGGAGUGGCUAUCUGCUUACAUGCCUAGCUGUAUUUUCUGGUUCUCUUCAUUUGCUUUUGUUGCAUGGAAUCCCCUGGGUCGUGUACGGAGGACAGCAGAACAGAGCAGUAAGACGUGCCUUGCUUCCUUUGACCCUAGACGGCAUUAACCAGUUAGAGUAUCCCAGGCCUUGCUCUUCUGGCUUUUUUUUUUUUUUAUUUUUUCUUUCCAUCACUUUCUGUUUUGUGAAGUCAUGAAGAUUCACCUUGGCCAGUCCAGUAGGACAUUCUUCCGGUCACCUGCCUGGCUCUCGGAGGAGAUAACUUUUGGUUUAGACUCAGACUCUCCAAUGGCCGCUGCUCCUUCUGUUAUUAGGAUUACAGCCAUGUUGUAUAGCUCAAUGUAAUCGAACCCUUACAGGCAGAAGGCAAAGUGCCCUUGUGAACUCCCUCCCUGCGCAGUGAGAUUAAAAUGCUUUUUACGGCUGGAGUCUGGAAAAGGAAUCCAGAGUGUGCAGCCAUACCUUCGAGCAUUGAGUCCUUCGAGCAUCGAGUUGCUGGCAUAGCAGGUGUGCAAGCUUCUUGUACUUUGAGCUUCCAGGCAAGCUAGUGCCCUUUAAGAAGCUCCCAGAUGUCAGCAAGUGGAGGCUGAGGCUUACCCCACCCCUUUGUGAUAAAGAAACAGAUAACAUUUAAUCUGUCAUCUGAUGUCCUUCUACUCAAAAAUGGUCUCCUGAGGGCCAGGGAACCUUUUAUUUAGGGGCUUGGAAGUAUGUGACUUAUAUGUGAGUUUCCUUCAGGUUCCUGUGGCCACAGUUGGGGAAGUGAACAUGAUCUAGCCCUGUUCAUGAUUUGUGGGAACAUCAGAGUGGUCAGAGGCUUCCUGGUCUCUGUGGCUCCGUCCAGAUGGACUGCUGACCGAACUGGGAAAAACCUCUGGUGUUGGUGGGUGGCCCUCUAAAUAUCUUUAUUACUUUGGGGGAGGGUGGGGAUUUUCUGAAGCCAAGGGUUUUUGUAAGUUAAGAAAACACAAUUAAGUCACCGGUGUCCCUUCACCCGUUUAUCCAUUCAUUCACCCUUCACUCGCAAACCCAUGGGAGCAACUGAAGCAGCAGACUGAACAUGCCAGUGGUGGUUUAAAUAUGUAAGAUGUAAUGGUGACCAGGACAGAAAGAUAUUAAGCUCAGGAAAAACAAGAUCCAUAAUUAAAAGGGGACAUGGUAUACAAUCUCAUUUAUAUAAGAUUCUAGAAAAUUCAAACCGAACCAUGUACCAGAAAGUAAACGGCAGAUAGAGUGAUUACAUCAUAAAUUGUCGAAGGGUCGGGGUGUGUGUGUGUGUGUGUGUGUGUGUGUGUGUGUGUGUGUGUUAAAGGGAAUGAGGAAACUUUGGGGACUGUGAGAAAUGCUUGUGGACAGGUAGCGAUCGCAGCAGGGACCUGCCCAUUUCAGAACUGACGCUACUGUUCACGUUAAGUGUCUGCUUGGCAGUACACGUUAAUUGGGUUAAUAGGACGGAAAGUGUAAGUCCUGUGAGAUAUCUCAGAUAAACCAGCUGAAGGCCUGCCAUCACCUUGGCAGACUGAGUUCAAGCCUGGGAACCCACAGAAAGGUGAGAGGAGAGACCCAGCUCUAAGCUGUCCACACCACACACCGCUUUCCCCUGUGUGCCUCUCACAGUCCACUGGCAUCCAUGAUGUAUACUAGGUUCUGAUGAGAGUUGUGCUCAUACACACAGAUACCAGUAAAAAUGAAAUUUUCAUUCAACAAUUCUAGAAAAUGGCAAUUGUACAUCACGGACUUAAAGGGGAGGGAGGAUCUAUUUAUUGCAAGUGCCAUGUUUAAGCACUUGAAACCAUUAAAGGUUGUCUGGGGUUUGGUGACAUUUGGCUUGGGGACAGCACAGGCAGGAUGGAAGUGAGACUGGCUUGGCACCAAGCUGUGUGUCCUGGUUCUGGAGGGAGCAUAAAUUUUUGCUCAGUUACAGUUUUCUGGGGGAGUAGUGGUGCUUCCCACUCCUCGACCUGGAAGCAAAGGACUCCCGAAUGUCAGCAGGCUCAUCCAGACUGACAAGCAAACUUCCCACUGCAGAGAGAGGAGGACAUGCCUUCCCAAGGCAGGUGGAUGCAGAGGGAGCUCAAGUCCGUGGCUAGACAUACUCAAGAGUCCCAGCCUGGCAUGUGGUUCAUUGGUCACAUGGCAGGCAGUGGCCAGUUGUGGUGAAAGGUCAUCUUUGGUGGAAGGCCAGUUUUUUUUCCUCCCACAACCUUCCAUGGACUGAUAUGUAUGCAAACACAAUAAAGCAUGUCACCAUAAGAGAAUAGUCACACAGAACAUAAUCUCAAAAUAUCUUAUCCACCUAUUGUUUACGCAUUAUCUGCCUCUCAUCAGAACCCAGUGCAUUAUGGACUCUGACGGACUUUGAGAAGUUCCUGCGGGGCAGAGUAAAGGGGACACAGUGGGGUUUUCCCAUGCAUAGACCCUUGCUUCUAUGAGGAAGCAAACCCUGGACCCUUUCAUUCUGAUUCUUAGCUACAGCCACAGAAUCCGACUUUUUUUUCAUUGAUUCAUUGUGAAUCUUACAACACCCCAAAUCCACUUAUUUCCCAGUCCCUCUAUAUCUGCCUUCCACCCCUGUUAAACCCCCCCCCCACCGCCCCAAAGAAAAUAAUUAAAUUAAAAACCCAAAACAUCUCAUUGUGGAAGCUGUAGUGUGUCACAGUGUGUCCCACAGUGUUCCCCUUCGUUUACACAUCUUUUCAUGACAAUCAUUGGUCUGGUUAGAGCCCUCUAGUUUCUGCUAUAAUGUAUACUCAAUUAGCAGUAUUCAAAUCGAUCCCGUAGCGGCGGCACUCCUCACUACCCGUCCCAGUGUCCUGGGUUCUCAAAUAAAACACACACACACACACACACACACACACACACACACACACACACACACACACACACAGCCUUUAUUUUAAUAUGUCUUAAACAGCUCAACAGCUGGGCCACUUCCUAACCUCCACGUGACUAAUCCACCCUCCGAUAUCUCUAAGUUAUUACUUACUAAAAUCUGUAUUCUAUCUUGGCUGCCCUAUACCCAGGUCAUCAGCCUUCUUGGACUCCUACACGACGGUUAUGUUCUCUGUCCUGAGCUUCUCAGGUGUGGCAUCUUGGUUCUCCUCCUUCCAGCAUGGCGGACCUCUGUCUUCUUUCUCUCCCUGUCCCCAGACCGGAAACGUAAAAGUCCCGCCUCUGUCUACCCCGCUCACACAUUGGUUGCCGCCAUCUUUCUUUACCAAUCAGAACCCACUAUGGGCAAGGUCCUUGAUCUCUUAAAUGCGGGACAUUGCAAACAGGUUUUUGGGGGAAUGUAAAUAACAUAAUAGAAACAAUAUUAAACCAAGCCCACAACACUGUGCCAGCAAUAGUGGACCCGCAGAAACUCCUCUUAGAUAUUCUGCUAUUGCCCUGUGUUACGAAAAUCCUGCGGCUUUUGUUCCUCAGGACUGAUGAAUUCUAGCAGCUCAUAGGUCAGGUAGAUGUUGGAGUGGUCCAACCCAAAGCCAUUGGUGUGCGCCUGGAUGGUAGCUGACUUGUCAGCCCGCGUCUAAGGUGCAUGGAGUAGGCAGUUCCCUGAGCUAGAUGAACCGGAAGGAAGUUGGACAUCUGUGUGGGCUCUUUCAGCUCCCUGUCCCAUCCGAGCAUUUCAGAGCCUAGUUGAGAGCUUCCUCAGAAUGCAUGCUUUCUGUCAAACGGGGCCAUUACCCCUGCCCUUGAAAGGGUAAGUCUGCCAUGUUCUUCAGUUCUGCCAGCUGGGUUUAAGGAGUCUCAAAGCCCUUAAAAUAUUCUCGGAGUGUCCUCAGGACAAAGGGAAUGAGAAGGUUGCUACCUUUCAUUGCUCGCCUCCCGCGAUCACAGUGGAUGUGAUCAGGUGAGCUCAUUGGAGCCUCAGAGCUCUUUGAAGUAUUGGUGCAGUUCUUCGGUCAAAUGGGGGAAUGGAGUUGUGUGGCUCUUUCUUUGGGGUCUCUUAGCUGUGGAACUGCUUGUCGCCAACAAUUAUGUGUCACAUUUAUCCGAAAAUAGAUCAGUCAUGGUGGUCCAUGCGCUGCACACUACAGGCUGAAGUAGGGGACGGAGGACAAUGCAGACCAACCUGGGCUGUGUCAUGAUAUCCUGCCUUAACACCUACAGCUCGCCCAACGAAAGAAUAGCGACCUUAAAUCUAAAUGAAGCUGGUUGGCUGCCCCCCACCCCCAAAUAUUAGAGCCCGAAUGAUUUGGGGGUGGGACUCAUAGCAGAGAGGUGUGAUCUGGAGGUUUUGUCUUUUUGUUUGUUUGUUUGUUCCUUGUUGGACCAUCUAAUGGAGGGUACAGAUUUGCUAGGCUCAGGACUGUGGCGGCUUUGUGGUUUUUCUGUGUGGUCUGUAAAUGCCUUUGAUUUCGACCUGAUGAGACGACAGAGUGCUUCGAGUAAAGCUAAGUCUGCCCCAGUGAAUUAAACUGUCUUUGAACCUCUGAUUCCUGAUGAGUUGAUGGCUGGUGCCAACUGUCAGUCUGUGUGACCCCAGCCCCCACUGGGCUCCUCCGUCCCCGUGGUUAGGACAAACAGAAGGUUCCAGUUAUGUUUUUUUUCACCCCAACGCGUGUAAAGCAGGAUAUGUGUUGAAAGGAACUGGGAUUUGGGAAAAGGAAGUCUGCAUUAAAACCUGUAUUCUGCCAUUAGCCAGAGGAUUUUUGCCUGAGUGUUUUCAGCUGGUAGAACAGUCACCAUAGUCCUGUGUGGACUGAAGAACUUCAUCUGUGUACUUACCUGCCUAGCAACCUGUGAGGUCGCCAGGCUUUCACCCCUAGGGGCAGGCCAUUGCCUUGUUGCAUGAACUGAAUACAGGGGAAGGAAGGGGUAUCUGCUGGUGUGCACUGGGACAGCUUAUAUUUGGAAUAUCCUUGAAGGUCAAUGUUGUCAAAUGUUUGCUCCUCAAAGUGGGGCUACUGGGAGGUGGCGGGACCUUUAAGAGGUGGGGCCUAGGGGAGACUGUGCAGGCCACUGGUGCAUGGCCUUAAAGGGACAUAAGCCAGAUCUGACUUUUUACAUUCUUUCUGACCAUUGGGGUGAGCAGUUCACUUUGCACAUGCCCUACUAUGCAGACUGGUGAUCGAGGGGCGAACGAGAAGGCUCCGUGGUUAAGAGUAGUUACUACUCUUACAGAGUGAACCUGACUUCAGUUCCCAGAACCCACACUAGAUAGCUUAUAACUGCCGGUAACUCCAUGGAACCCAACUUUUCCUGGUCUCCCAGAGCACCUGUAUAUGUUUCCUCUCCCUCCCUUCCCACACCCUAAAAUGAGUCUUUUUUUUUUUUUAAAUAAAGGAGUCCAAAUAAACUGUUUCUCUAGCAAGUUUGUCUUCCCAGGUAUUGCUGUGGUGAGCAGAAGCUGUCACAUGCCAAUGUCAAUUGCUGCUGGAUGCUACUUAUUAAACGUUGCUUCAUUACAGGGAAGACUUAUGCCACCUCAGCUAACCCAGAGAUGUUAGAAUAAUGAUUAUGAAUUAGAAGGUCAACGGGAGAGGGUAGGGUAGGGCGAGAUUCCAAGUUUGCGAUGAGCUCCUCGGAGGGGCUGCCCACCAUGGGUUGCUCUUUGUACUGUGUUAAUUCUACAUAAGGAACAAGUGCACCAGCAAGUGAGACUGGGUAGGGUAGUAAGGCAGUCACCUUAGCCAGCGACCUCCCAAUAGGAGGGUGACUCAUUGUCUACAUCAUCUUCAUAUAAGAACUAGGAUAAGAGCAAGGUCUCUCUUUCUCCAGGAAGCCCCGAGGGUAGCCUAGCCACGCUCUCUUUUGUUUUCCAGGCUUGGUGAAUACAACAAUGGGUCUGGUGGCUUCUUACUCCGAGUGACUAGCCCAUGAUAUGACGUUUGCUUGAUAAGGCAUGUGGAACAUCUAUCUGCCCGAUGCUUACUAGGCUCUAAACGCUGUGUUAGAAGGAGUUCUCUAAGCCUCCCAGUGAUUUUAGACACUAAUUGCACUGGUUCUGGGGGUGUUUAAAGCCUUCACAUACCGAUUCUCUGAUUCAGUUUUCCUUGCUGUCACAAAAAUCUUAGACUAAAACGAUUUAGGGAAGGCUUGGUUUUGUUUCCAGGUUUUAGGAGUUUUAGCUGGUCAUGGUGGGGACCCAGAGCGAGAUGGAAUGUCUAUAUGAGCAGGCUUCCGACUGAAUUCUGUCUGGGUCCCAUGUGGUGCUGCUCAUUUAAGGCAAGUCUUCUCCCUUUAGUUAGUAUCUCCUGGAAAACACUGUCAUAGACACUCCUAGAAGUGGGCUUCACUGGUCUCUCCAUCCAUUCAAGUCAGCAACCGACAUUAACCAUUCUACCAGCCAUAUUCCCUCCCCCAUACCUUUGCUUAGAGACACAGUUUUCGACGGAGGGUAACUUCUAGCCCAAGGCCAGUUUCUAACGUCUGGAGAUUGUUGUUGCUUUGUUCUUUUUGUUUUGUUUUCUGUCUCAACCUUGAGUGGUAUUUAAAGGUCUAAGACAGGGGAGGAUGCUGGACCCCUUCAGAGCGCAGGGCAGCCCACCCCCCCACAGAUGAAAAUGCUCAGGCAGCCCAGUGUUAACGAGGGUGGGCACAAGAGCAUCAUUAGAGCUUGAGUAGUUGGUUCAUCCUGCAGAAAAUGCUUUCUGAGGGGCUGGAGAGAUGGCUCAGAGGUUAAGAGCACUGACUGCUCUUCCAGAGGUCCUGAGUUCAAUUCCCAGCAACCACAUGGUGGCUCACAACCAUGUGUAAUGGGAUCCGAUGCCCUCUUCUGGUGUGUCUGAAGACAGCUGCAGUGUACUCAAACAUAAUAAAUAAAUAAUUUUUAAAAAAGGAAGAAAAUGCUUUCCGUUUCUGCCUUACAGUCUUCUGUAGGUUCUCUGAGCUGACCUGGGAUGGAGUCUUUGUUGUCAUUUUCCUAAUUUGUAUUCUUUUUAGUCUAAAUUGAAGGCCAUCGAAGGGCUUCCCUGUCCCCUCCUGCUGCUUCCCUUUCACAGGUAUUGUGAAUAUGGCACUCUGCCUCCUCCCUCUCAUGCAGCAUGUGUCACUGGAAGGGAGGAGAGGACUCCUUUGGUUGUGUGCUGGAGUUAUUUUACCGUUAACCUUUUCUGACUGAGACCGGGCUCUUUAGAGCCAUUCUCGUUACAAAAUCCAGACCAGUUACUUUAUUUCAUCGGACACAGGAGAAAUAACUUUUUUUUUAAAAAGUACUUUAAGAAAUUAGUUUGGCAGAAUAAUCCUCCCCCCUCCCGCCCCUAAGGGGGAGGGACGGAGAGAAGGAUUGACAAGGUAUGGCUUCUUUCUUUAAAUGGUUUAAUUUGGAAUAGAUAUCCAUCAACAGUACAGAGGAUUCAGAACACCUUCCCUGGCAUCCCUGGAAUCAGGACUCACCACAGAUUCUGAAGAAGGAGCAUUCUGUCAUUCACUGCGCCCAGGUACACAAUGGAUCAGACCUCGGAGGAGGCCCAGCAUGCUGCCUCCUGAAAUGGUUUCUUUGCUGCAGGCCUGUUGGGGAGAUGCUUAUCAGAAAGGGGUGGACAGGUCUGCAAUGGACAGGCCCCAUUCUGUCUCCAGUGGUUUAUUGCUAGUGAUAGGUGCCAUCAGUGUCUUGCCUGAGAAAUGGCCGUGCUGCAGGCAUUUCUGUCGGAACAUCUUAUUGAUCUGCUCGCCGCCUCCCUUCCAGAAGACCGGAGUAGUCAGAAGGCAGAAGCUACUGGCUGGAGCUGCUAUGGCACUGUGAGCUGCAGCUGUUCUCUGGGGUGAGCACAACAGUUACCAUCACUAGAGCUGCUCCAUCCGGGGUCACAGAGGCUCGCUCCAGGAAACCAAGUAGCCUGGAUUGCACGAGGACCCACCAGCAGGAUGAGUGCUGCUUCUGAAAUUGUUUCCCCGUUGAGGUUGUAUGCCUGAGAUUCCUGCCUCUGACCCACCCCGGACCUCGAUAAAAUAGGAUUGGAAGCAGUUAAUCUGGGAAUCUCAUUCAUAAAUAAUCCUUCUUGGCUCCCAGCACUGGUAUAUAAGGAGAGAUUUAUAAGUACAAACCUGCAGGCCAAACUGCAGGAAGCAGUGUGGAUCCAGCCUCUGGCUUUGGACAUGAGACGAAAUGGUUAUAAUCAAUAUAUUGCCACAAGCAUCAGGGGACAUUUUUAUGGCGUUUGCAUAGGACUUUAUAACGUACAGUAGAUGGGAUCUGCCACCAGCCCAACCCAGGCAUAAAAUGCAUCUUAUAAAUAAAAACACAGAAGCAUUUUGGCAAAAUGUAUGACGGUUACAGCUAUAGAGAAAGUUUGUAGAGAGUAGGCUAGGCUGGAAUUGGAGUCUGAAAGUGCAAGGGUGUACCAGCGGUGGGGACGGUGGCAUUGCUGACUUAUAGCUGGGUGACUAAGGAUUUGGCAAGAGUCUGGCCACUGACCAUGUCCCCCUUACCUGUAAGCGGCAUGACCUUGGGUUGCUCUCGUUCCCAGUUCAUUGAUGAAAAUCGUACUACCUGCCUUUAUAUGGUUAUUUUUUUCCUCUUUCAGGGUGGAGGGGGUUCACAUCUGGCGUUUCGUGCAUGCCAAGUUACAUUCCGCCACUGAGUGACAACCUUAGCCCACACAUCAGCUUCCUUUUCAAUGAAGUAAUGUGUAGAAAUGUUUAGUGCAUUCCUGCAGUGUAUAACUGCUUAAUAACGGUUAAGAAGGAGAAGACGAUGCUGAGGGCGGCGCUGAGGUCAGCGACAAUCAUGAUGAUGUUGCAACAACGGUGAUGAUGGCAGUGGUCAGCUGGUAUCUGAAACGUACCGUAUCACAAAGUAUGGCGGGACUCAUGCUCAUUGCCCUCUUACCCCUGUCAGAUCUGGCUCCCCUGAGCGCAGAUGGAAACUGUCUCUGAGGCCACGUCAACCAUGAAGAAACAGUCCCUGGAAUAUAGUAAAUCCUCGGUAAAUACUAAGAGAAAACAGAAACGGAGCGAUCCUCCAUCAGAGGGGGCCAGCAUGAACUGGAACGUGAAGUGAAGUGCGUUUUCAGAUCUCAAAGCUUUGCCCCACCCUGCACCUGGCAAAGUCUUUCCUUCAUCCCGGGGAUGCUUUCCUCAGUAAUGAAAAGACAAAGGCCAGAUUCCCUCCUGCAGUAAAAUGCUCAGAAACACAGGACCAGUGGAUAAGAUCCUUCCAUCCCUGCUUUGCUGUAAGUCUGUUGACUUGUUUGUUGUACUGUUUAAAAUGUUUACUUCCAGCAAUGGUGAGGUUCCCUCUGAGGCUGACCUUUAUUAGCACUGCAGCCGGCUUGCUCUUUCUCCAAAGGAGCUUUGGGGAUUCUUAUUGUGAAGGUACUCCUGCCCCUCCAAGUUGUCUUUUGAGACAGUGUUUUACAAUGUAGCCUUGAUUAGCCUGUAAUCUAUUAUGUAGACUAGGUUGAUCUUAAAGGCGGUGACAUGUCAAGUCUAUGUUUCUCCAGUUCUGGAAUUAAAGACAAGCACCACCCAUCCUGGCACCAAUCCUCCCAAUCCCCCAAGCGAUCUGCUUUGUAGCCCAGGCUGGCCCCAAGCUCUCAUGCUACUGCUUUAGUCUCCCACACGUGGGGGUCACAGGCUUGAGCCCUGCCUAAUUACAGACCACAUAGAGGUCGGAUGAACAUUAUUUUGGAGUUGACGCAGAGGAGACCGGCAUGUAUUGCUUUCGCGUCCCAUCUGCCUGUAGACCAUAGACUGUGCAUAUGGUGUGUCCUUCAGGCAACUGCUGAAAGGUGCUUGGGCUGGCCCAGAGAGGAAGACAUGACAGUACAGGAGUGGCUGCUUGUCAGAGUCAAGGAGAGGGUUCCUCUUAGCCAGCCUGCAGGUGUGGGCGAUGCUCACCCCCAGGGCAGAGGGCAGAUGCCAGGCUUCAGAACUGCUUCCUCUAGGGCUCUCUGUGGUCCUCAGGAUGGCCUUUCAGGCUCAACUCAAGGCAAAGCAAAUUCUGACUUGGAGGUGGGGGGACCACACUAGCAGACUAUGUCAGGCUAUAGCUGUCCUAUAUGACUUGGCUCCAUCAGAUUCCAUAACUCAUAGUCAUCCAUCCAGACGGGAGAAAAAUCCCAGAAAGGACCAAAAUGUAGUUGAGCCUUGAAAAUUAGAAAACUACGUUUUAAAUAGUGGAGCAAUCUCUGUGGGGUGAAGAAUUCUCACGAUUUAACACGGCGAAAGUUCAGGGUUCCCUCUCUGGCUUUGACAGCCAAAGGAACUUCCUGAAAAGGAAGACACAAUCUCCCCUAUCUUCUCUAGUGGGGAUUCAGUUUUUACUUAAAGAUUUAAAGCAUCGUAACACAGUCCACAGAGGGAGGCCUGAGAACAAGUUCCUGGAGUUGCUUCUUGCACUCCAUUUUUAGAUGAGUUCUCUGGGGAUUGAACUCUGGUCAUCAGGUUUGUGCCACAGGUACUUUUACUUACUGAGCCACCUCGCCGGGCAUAUUUUAUUUUAGAUUUAUUUUUAUUAUUUUUCAGACAGAAACUCACAUAGCCAGGUGGUCUGCAACUCCCUCUAUGGCUGAGGCUGGCCUUGAAUUUCUGAUUCUCCUGAGUAGUGGGGGUGACAGACAUGUGCCACCCCGGCCAGGUUUACAGGAUUUCCACAUAGCUGAGCCCUUCCAUCUCCGACAGCUCUUGGCUACGAGCCAGGUAAAUGUCAGCAUACUCACCUGCCCAUUUCUAAGGAGAACUGGCUAGGCUCACAGACUAAAGGACUCGCCCAGGACACUAAACCAGGAAACAGAGGCUAGGGGGGGUCUUGAAUGAAGCUUCUGUGUGUGUGCUGUGGGAUCAGGGGUUUCCUCCACUCUCUUUUGCAUUCAAAUAGGAAAACCGUGAGCAGUUGGCAAGAUUGCUGUUGGGAGCUUGUAAAAGAGGUAGGGAAAAAGUCCAACUGCCUAGUCAGAGAGGCCUUUUCUUCAGCUGAUGUCUCACCAGAAAAGCUUGUUAGGAAAAACCUCCCAGCUGUGAGUCAGGGGCAGCGUGUGGGGGUGGGGCCCGGGUAGCCCGGAAGUGCACUGCUGGGAUGUUCAAUUAGGGUGAAAAGGGAAAAAGACGUAGGCCUCUGAUGCCUGGGCCUGUGAUAACUCUGGGAGGAGCAGUAUCUGCUCCUCCUGACAGAGGCUGGGCAUUUUUUCCUGGGCUUGGGUUUUCUCUGAGAAUACCAGAAGUCUCACCAUGCAUCCAUGGCGUCCUCUAGCACAGCGUCCUUCCCUUCACUCAUGGAGAAGUGGAGAUUAGUUCAGGGCCACAGACAAGAAUCCAACACACACAACUCUCUCUCUGUCUUCCCCCUCUCUGUCUGUCUGUCUGUCUGUCUGUCUGUCUGUCUGUCUGUCUGUCUGACUCUGUCUCUCUGGGUACGAGUGUGUGUGUGUGUGUGUGUGUGUGUGUGUGUGUGUGUGUGUGUGUGUGUGUGCGUGCGUGCAGACCAGAGAUUGACAGCUAGUGUUUUCCUUUCCUCAUUGGCUCUGUACCUUAGUUUCUAACACUAGAUUUCUCACUGAAUCUAGAGCUUGCCGAUUCGGCUCUGCUGUUCAGCUAGCGAUUCCCAGGGACCCUCCUGUCUCCCUCCCAGUAGGUUCUGGGAGUCCAGGGGUGGGCACAGCUACACCCAGCUUCUUUAUGUGGGUUCUGGGGAUCGAACAUGUCCUGAGGCUUGCAUCCCGAACCAUCUAACACAUACAGGGAGGAUAUUGCUGCCAUUUUAUUUCCCAAUUGAGAUGUUAGUAACUGGCUCAAGAGCACACCGCUAGUUAGUGACGGAGCUGGGUAAAAAGUCCAGUGGUUUAGUUUCUUGGUGACGUUAAGGAUGGUUAGGGCUUUAGCAAGUUGAGCAUGCAGUCUCACCUGAACACGGGCCGCUUGGCUCCAGUCAAGGGUUGUAAAAGAGGAAUGUGGGCCUCUUCUGGUCCUGCUGGAUCUUCUGAUUUUUUUUUUUUCCUUUUAAAACAGAAAUCCAGAGUUCAGAUAAAACUCCCAGCUUUUUUCUUUAUUUUAUUUUACGUGCACUCUUUUUUUUUUUUUUUUUACCUGAAUGUCUGUCAUCUGUGAGAGGGUGUCAGAUUCCUUGGAACCAGAGUUACAGAUGGUUGUGAGCUGUCGUGUGUGUGCUGGGAAUCGAACUGGGGUCUCCAGGAGGGACAAUCAGUGUCGUUUCCAGCCAUCUCUCCGGCCCCUUCAAACUCCCUGAUUGUUAUGCAGGGGUUUCUGUGGAUCUCCCAUAGGCUGCAGGUGAAGUCCAGCAGUUGGAGAUCUUACAAAUGAUGCCUCAGACAAGAUGCUGAAAGCUGAGCCCGGUGGCUAACCCAAGCUAAGCGGCAUAGCCCAAGCAGACAUGUACAGGAGGCUGCUACUUGGGGUCUGAAGAGGCUUUGCGUGGCUGGAGUCUGGCCACAGUGACACAUUUAAUGCCUACAAGAGUGAGAUGUCAGCGAUCAGAACAUUCCCAAGCUGGGGACCGAGGAAGGGCAAGUGGGCGGAAUGAUAAAUCUUGUCAAGGACUUGGCCACACCCUGUGUAUUUUCGUCAUCUGCAUUCCCUGAAGAUGAACUAGGGUUCCCUAGCAUGGGGUCCAGAAGCUUUAGUGAUACUUGUGGUGUGGACCAGAUUAUACCUAAGCAUCACUGUACCAAAGAGAGAAGAAGCUGUUACUCAACAUGGCUUCCUGGAAACUAGAAAGAUCUCCUAGCCAAAGGGGGCCUGCUCCUCCGUAUACCUCCCCUGGCAUCACAGGGCAGUUCAUUGGAUUUGUGAGGCUUCAUUCGUCCCUGGAGAGCAGGGAGAGUGACCAGUUGAUAUGGCUCUAACACACAGUCGGAAGUUCCAGUGACAGGACGCCAUCACUUACCCAGAACCCCUGAACUCAUCAGUCACCCUCAAUGGUCCCAUAGCGCAGAAGGUGACUUUAAGUCAACAUUACUUCCUUUUUUUUUUUCCGGAGCUGAGGACCGAACACAGGGCCUUGUGCUUGCUAGGCAAGUGCUCUACCACUGAGCUAAAUCCCCAACCUUUUUUUUUUUUAAAGAUUUAUUUAUUUAAUGUAUACGAGUACACUGUAGCUGUCUUCAGACACACCAGACCUCAUUACAGAUGGUUGUGAGCCACCAUGUGGUUGCUGGGAAUUGAACUCAGGACCUCUGGAAGAGCAGUUGGAGCUCUUAACCGCUGAGCCAUUUCUCCAGCCCCAAAAGGUGACUUUAAAUGUUGUUGUAAGAGGCCCAUUUGCAGAAAGAGACUUGUGCAUAAGAGACAUUCGGAAAACUGGUUAUGCAAGAGAGUGAAGUCCUUUGCAGCAAGAAUUAGCAAAAUCUUAAAUCGUGUAAGUAAUUAUGAUUGCCGAAGGGCAGCCCUGUGGCCCUGGAAACUUCCUUCCUGGUUAUUUCAUUUCUUCUUCAGUGUUUUUGUAGCGUGUUAUUGAGAACGUUCUUUGAGAUGUUCUGUUUCGCCUUUCCUACAAGCUUUCUUUCAUCCCCUCCGGAUGUCCCUUUCUCAGUUACCUGUUUACUUUUGAGAUGGAGUCUCUAGUAUUCCAGGCUACCCUUGAACUCUAGGUAGUCAAAGAGGAUGGCUGGCCUGGUUGCUGCUGCCUGUCUAGGGACCAUAUCCCCAGCCCGACAGGGUCCCCCCCCCCCCCGCAGAAUUAUAAUUUUCCGUUUUCAGGAAGUGGAUCCUUCUAUAAAUUGAUUAGAUUCAAAACAGAGGUGGUUAAUGAAAAAUGGGGGACGGGCAUGGCAUAUCUGUCACUGUUCCCCCCCUCCCCCGUUCCUGGGUUCUAGGCUGAACACAGGUGUCCAGUCCUGGUCCCCAACUCAGGUUGACUUUAACAGUUGGAAUUUCCAACCCAUAUUGACAUUUACCUCGAAGCAGAGGGGCAAAGGAGAAAGUAACUUUCUCAAGGACACAAUUGCUCUUCUGCCGGGGGGACAGCUUCCCCCCUCCCCCCCACAAGAGGAGAAGCCAGGGGUCUGGGGAAAAGUGGCCUCUUUUAUAGCCUUCCUAUUUAUUGUGAGAAGAGACACGGUUGUCUCCUGGACAGCUGGCCAACGACUUUCUUUGGGGGGGGGCAGUGGGAAUGGGCGGGUGCUCCCACCAGGCUGCCUCAAGGUGCUUCCUUUCACACUAGCAUCUCUGGGACAUUUGCUUCUCUCCAAACCAGCCGAUUCACUGCAAGUGGCCUCGAUUUGAUGUGCCUAACUUUGGGAAUCAUCGUGUAGACUUUGACUCUGAUCUCAGCCCUGACGCUGGAUGGCUGUGUGAUUCUAGGUGAGCUGGUGUGUCUCUGAGCCUCGUCGAUUUCGGUCAAAGAGAAGUCUUGAUUAACAUGGGCAGAAAGGAUGCCAACGGUGACUUUCAUCACUCCUGUUUGAUUCCUGUCUUCUUCACCCUUCAGAGCCAGCAAGAGUUUGCUGGCUUGGAUGUUCCUGGGUGGCGGAGUCCAUAGUCUGAGGGCAAGGAGGUCUUGGAAGCAGUUUUCCUGGGUAGAACCUAGUUUUCAGCUGAGACUCCCACCCUCAACACACAUCAAGCUGAAGAUGAGCCCUCUGCCUUUUUUCUAAUACGGAGUUGGAUGUCCCCAGACCAGUGCCGGGAAGGAGGAAGCUCCGGAUACUUGUGAAGGUGUGGGCUGUCCUUUUGCACACCCAUAGUCUCCUUUGACUUUGAAGUUCGGACUGUCACCAUUCCACUUUGGCUUCUGGAUCAAGAAAAUGGUCAAUGUGCUGCCAUGGUAAAGCUCCAGGGGACUUGGAAUCACUCCAGGAUAAUGACAUAUGCCACCCAUUGACAGCUCUGACACGGGCUUUGUUCAGUCACUUCAGACAGCUACUGUUUAAUGUCUUAUUCAGUUCUUCAACAACGCUGUGGACGAAGAAACGGUCCACAGCUGAUAGGCGGAGACACUGAGGUGCGGAGAAGCUAAGGGAUUUAUCCAGGACCUCUCAACCAGCCAUGCCGAACCUGCAGUGUGCACCUUGUUCCUUGGGACAUCAUGCUGCUGCUACAUUACUUGAAGUCGGGUCUUGAGGGAUAUGCACAGUCUGAAGUUCUCUCUUUGUGUACUAAUGAAAACACAGUGGGUACUCCAUUUCCUAGCAGGGCUAGCUCUGGGCUGCUUCAUACUUAAAAUCAUGAAAACUUGCUGAAAUUUAAAAAUCUAGAUCUUGGGCUGGGGAGAGAGCUCAUUGGUUAAAAUCACCACUGCUCAUUCAGAGGAUCCAAGUUUAAUUCCCAGUACCCACGUGGUAGCUCACAACUGUCAGUGACUCUAGUUUUAGGGGGACAACUCCUAAAACUAGGACAAAUAUGUUCUCACCCAGACAAAUAUGCAGUUAAAACACCAAUGCACACAAAAUAAACAAAAAUAAAUAAAUACAUACAUACAUACAAUCUAGAUUUUAGCUGCAUUAUAUAUGUUCCACAAGCUCCAAAACCCUGCAGAACUACAUCCUUUAGGAUGUUUGGGCACUAAAGGGACAGAACAUUAGAACUUUCUGUAGAAACUACCAGAACAAAGCACAGUGGCAGAUGAAGAACCAGAGAUGCAAGGAACAUAAAAAGCACACAAUGGGAGGCUCAUUGCUCUGCUAUCACAUCUAAGCCCCUCCCUGGCCUCCUGUUCCUGCUUUCGGAAUAACUUUCUUGUGGAUCCCACGUUGCCCGUGGAAGGUACCUCACCUCUGCUUUCCUAUGUGCUCGGUGCCCUGAGGGUUGGGGGAUGUGACAUGGCUAUCACUAUCUACACAGUCAGUCACUUGGCACUGUAGGCUGUAGGGAUCUUUAAACAGAGACAUGCUUCAGGGUGUAGAUUAUGAACUGCAUAUGGCAGAUGCGGACACUUGGGCAGCUUAUGAGGAUCUGGACCCUGGGUAGGAUCACCUCUAAAGGGAUGCUUACCCUCAGAGAGCCUGGAAAUGUCUGUUUAAAGGACCUGGUCAAAUACUCUAGAACCACAGCUAGGUCACUACCUUGCUGUAAAUGACUUGUGUGUCAUUGUACUGGACAAAUGCUCCCAGUCUUAUUAGGGUUUUACUGAUGUGAACAGAUACCAUGACCAAGGCAACUCGUAUAAGGACAGCAUUUAAUUGGGGCUGGCUUACAGGUUCAGAAGUUCAGUCCCUUAUCAUCAAGGUGGGAGCAUGGCAGCAACCAGGCAGGCAUGGUGCAGGCAGAGCUGAGAGUUCUACAUCUCCAUCUGAAGGCUGCUAGCAGAAUGCUGACUUCCAGGAAGCUAGGACUAGGGUAUUAAAGCCCACACCCACAGUGACACACCUACUCCAACAGGGCCACACCUCCAGGUAGUGCCACUCCCUGGGCCCUCCAUCACACUCCCCAAGGGCAGACUUCGUGUAUACCUCCUGAUUAUUGCUGAAUCCUGGAGGCCACCUCCUAUUGAUAACAAAUUCUAGAAACAUCAAAUAAAUAUAAUAAAUAUUGGUUAAAACAA